rnacentral:rRNA from 1 species
UACGUAGGGUGCGAGCGUUGUCCGGAAUUAUUGGGCGUUAAAGAGCUCUGUAGGCGGUCUGUCGCGUCGAUCGUGAAAACUUGGGGCUUAACCCUGAGCUUGCGGUCGAUACGGGCAUGACUGGAGUUCGGCAGGGGAGACUGGAAUUCCUGGUGUAGCGGUGAAAUGCGCAGAUAUCAGGAGGAACACCGGUGGCGAAGGCGGGUCUCUGGGCCGAUACUGACGCUGAGACGCGAAAGCGUGGGUAGCAAACAGG